GUUACUUUCCUGGAGGAGAGGCUAAUUAACCAAGUUGUUAACUGGAGAACCUUGAGAGACUUUUUUUUAGGGGACUUUGAUGGGUGGUAGUAACAACUCUUCAUUCCUUUAUUUUGCUGCAGCCAAUGGGUGGCCAUCUUGACCUUCUCUUUUCUAAAGCAGGAAUAAUAAUAAAGGAGCAUAUUUUGUUUAAUCUGUACAAGUUAUAUGGUUGCUUUUAAUGCAGGAAAAAAGAAAUAAAGACUCUUUCUUCAUUUACUUCUUCAAAAUAUGUGUAUAUAAUGUGUGAAUAAAUAUACCUUGCUGACAUGAGUGGUUUAUAAAGAAAAGGACAAAGGCAGUUUUAAAGGAGAUUUUUUUUUUCCUGGAUAAAACGCCUUGAGUGAUUUUUAAUGUGGUUUGUUUAAAGUCCUACUGAGACUAAAGCAAUGAUUUUGAGAAACCUUUUGGAAAAACAAUAAUAAAAUGUCAUCUCAAAUAUGUAACUUUUAAAUCAGGUAGUUUUUCUGGAACUCUCUUGAUGGUUUACAGAUGGAGCAUUUCAAUCCAGGAAUGAGAACUUUUAAAAUGUUCGAUCUUCCCCUUUCCUGUAAUUGAACACUUAAGUAACCAUGGAACAGUCUGACUCUCAAAAAAGACAAAAUGAACUACCAACAGGUUAUACAGAAGCAACAGAGUAGCAGGGGGGUUUAUGGGAAUGAUGCCUGGAAAGGAGAAACAUUUACAAGUCCUUCAAGCUCUUCCCUGUUUCUUUGGACACUCAACCUAGGCAUAUCCAUUGAUUAUGCUGUAUCACUUUUAGAAUAUUCCCUGUGGGUUCCCGAUGCGGCACAACGGGAUCAGUGGCAUCUUGGGAGCACCUGGCACAGUGCGGCUUAUGUAGCAACUGCAGCUUGGAUCUGAUCCCUGGCCCAGGUACUCCACAUGCCUCCGGUGGCCAAAAAAGAAAAAGCAAGAAUAUUCCCUGUGGUUCAUAACACUGAGGGGGCAAAGAAGGAGGAGCUGCAGUGGGGGCGUAGGAGAGGGUGCCCUAGGGCUUGGUCUCUCACAGACCUGGUGACCUUGGACGAGUCCCUAACUUCAGGGACCUCAGUUCCCUAUGCUCAUGGAGAUUAGACUGCAUGAUUUUUUUUAGGACUUCCAGCUAGGAAAUGCCAUUCUUCUGUCAUAUGCAAAGUCUUAGGCUGGGCAAGACAAAUGUUGGUAAAACAUGACCACUUCCUGCCUCAUAGUUACAGUGGCUCUGUGUUUCUGCAUCAUCUUUUCCCACUAGAGAGAUCCAGUCCCAGAGCUGCAGCUUACUGUUUUUUGAGUCCCAGCUGCUAUUAUGAUGCUUAAUUUGUUUAAAAAGGGAAGCUGCACAAUCUUUUGCUGAGUGGACUUUGAAGAAUCUUGCAAUCUGGAGGAAAAAUGGACCCAUUUCACCUCAAUAUGUGGGGGAAAAAGGUAUCAGUGUUAUAACUGGGGUGCAAAAAUGAAAAACGCUGUGAGGAUACAGAGAAAAGAGGGAUUUGUUCUAGUUUCAAGUGAGUAGGGGACCAGGAGGAAAGGCUCUGGGGGAUGGGGCACUGGACCGGUGGAAAUGGAAUGAGAAUUUCAGACACAGAAUCCAAGGGGAACAACUCCAGGCAGAGGAUUGAGGGGAGGGGAGAUCUACUGGAUUCCUUCCCAGAAGGCAGAGACCAAGUUUGGAGAAGAGAAGCUGAAAUGAUGGCUGAGACAAAGUUCUAGGAGGCCAGGCUCAAAAAACUUGAACUUUAUUUUUAGGUAAUAGGGAAUUAUUGAUUUUUUUUUUCUUAGAGGGUUAACUGUUCAGCGCUGUGGCUGGGGAUCACUCUAGUGGCAGGAAGCAGCAGAUCAAUAGGGUAUUGCAGUAAUUAAGAAAGAGGACGUGAAGGCUUAAACAAAGGCAGUGGCGGUGGGCAGGGGAAGGAGGGGACGGGUUGGGGGACAAUGUGGGAGUAGCAUUGGUAGGUCUUGGCCCCUCAGAGGAUGGGGCUGGGGAUGAAGAGGAGGAGGGAGAAGUUGGAGACGACUCUAGGGAGUUCCCAUCAGCUGAAGUUGGGAACCCAGAGAGGACCAGGUGGUAAAGGUACAAGUCUCAUCUGGGAGAUGCUGGGUUUGAAACAGCAAAAGGCUACUCUGGUUCACAAGCAGCUGCAAACGCUGACAACGUGGCCGGAGAGAAGUCAAGGGCAGCUGUAGAUGGUUAGACACACACAUACAGGUAGUAGCAGGAGUGGAUGGGAUCUCCCAGGGAGAGAAGAAGGCCGGGGCAGGCCUACCCUGAAGGAGUGGCAGGAGAGGAAAUGUCUCUGAAGAGGACAGAGGGGUUGGAAGAGAAUCAGGCUGGUGUGAGAUCACGGCACUUAAAUGUAGAUAGCAUUUUAUAAGGAGGGAGUGGGUGGCAGCAUCAUGCAAAUCAGAAGUGUCAGGAGGGAGUUUGAGUGUGAGAGGAUUUGGAUGUGGCCAUUAAAAGAUCACUAGAGACCUUUACAAGAGCAUAAAAGAGAUGGGAUGGGAAAGCAGAGGUAAACCAGCCCUUUCAAGCUGCUUCACGGUGAACAGAAGAGAGCUGGGGUGAUAUAAAGGGAAACCAGACAGGGGAAAAGAUGGUAUAUCAAAGACAGUUCUGAGCCUCAGGUGUCAGAGGUGAGACAGUUCUAGUUGACGCAGAGGCUGACAGGUGACAAGGCUACAAGGAGCCUGAAGUCAGGUGGAGGUGAAAGUCCUAGGUAUUGGAAACAUUAAGGUACCAGGAAGGCAGUGGGUUGGAAGAUAACCAGUUAAGAUGAAAAGGAGUGUUUAAAUCACUUUAACAGUGAAGAUGGAGCAGAGUCUGCCAUGUGCAGCCGUGAAAAUGAGAAGACGGUUAUGCCAAAAGUAGGACCUAUGGGUUUAAUAUUGUUCCUUAGGUACUGUCUGGUUUAAAAAAACAUUGGGCUAGGUUUUUAAUGACUUAAAAAGUCCUUAAAAAAAUUUUUUUUUGAGGACAUAAAAAUUUUAAUGAGGAAUUCCCGUGUAGCACAUUAGAUUAAGAAUCUGGUGUUGACGCAAAUGUGUGGCGCAGGCUGCAACUGCAGCAUGGGUUUGAUCCCUGGCCGGGGGACUUCCAUGUGCUGCAAGUGUAGCCAAACAUCUUUUUAAAAUGAUAUUCUUAUUUCUUUCAUAUUUUAUAGUUUUGUGACUAGAAGUAACUCUGGAAGUUUGCCAGGGUUUAUUAUAUUCAAUAAUGAUAAUCUAUACAACACACCAUGCCUGAGUCUGGCAGCAAAUAAGAGAUGCUCAAUAAUUAAUUAACUUCCUUUUUCUCUGUAGCUUCUAGGGCUAAAAAAUAUUCUCAUGCAGAAUAGCUUUAACAAAGCAACUGGUAUGUAAAUGCACUAGAUCAAGAGCUGGUGAGAAGGAAGAAAAGAGUAUUUUCUCCCCUUUGUGAAACUAUUUGGAGAUGAGAAGAAGAAUAAAAUAACCUAGGAAAAAAGAAACAGGGUUUGGAGGUGAGUAGAAUUAAGAUGCCCUUCAGUUAUCUAGAUCUGGAGAGAUGGGGUCUGCUCCUUUGGCCCAGCCGUUUUUGAUCUGUGGGUAAUGUGACCUCAGCUCAGGGCACUUGAACUUGGGGCGCAUCCUCCUGACUCCAGGUGCUAUAAUAAGCCUUACCUGAAUUUGAGAGCAAAAUUCCACCAGGCUGGGGAAAGCAUUUCAUAGGAUGAGUCAGCGUUACUCAGCCAUAACCAAGUCAGCCAUGGUUUCAGAUGAUGUGUUUCAAAAGCUUUCUGAGUGGUUUCUGUCCAGACAAAGGUUUUCUUCAAAGCCUCCGAAGUUAUCAUUGUCUUCUCCCCAAAUGGAUAACAAGCCCACUUGUCACCCUGGGAAUGGGACUUUGGAUGGAAAUGUGGAUUCCGUCUCUCGGAAGAAUGAUCACUAAAAAGGCAGAUUCUACCCCUUCUUGACCCUUUGCUUUCAGCCAUCGCCAGCCCUUUCAUCUCCACAUCAGGGGGACAGGCUGCUGGGGAGGCCAGCAGAGGGCCUGACGUUGCUUUAUAUUUUCUUUAUUGAUCCAUGAAACCCUAGAACCAUUCCCAGUUCUGAUUAUCAUCGCUGAGUUGUGUAUGUGUUUCCUGUGCAGGCUCUCUGGGUGUUGAGAUUGGUUUUUAAUCCUUUUGUAGCUGUUUAGCUGUAGCCUUUGCUGAAAACCUGUCAGCAGCCUUUUCAUGUUGGGUUACUCACUGUCAUUAACCAUGGCCAAAAUGAAACCACAGAUGCAGCAGAAGGAAGUGCCUCCUGAGGCUGAAACUCUCCAAACCAGUUUUCGCCUGCAGAGCAGGCUUUGAGGGGGCCACUCCUGAAGAUAUGUCUCAUUUUCCUGACUGCAGAAACAUCUCUCAAGAAGGAAUCCUAUCUCAGAGUCUUAGGACUAGAAAGGGCCUUGGGAAAUGACCUGAUUCAACCCUGGGGGUUUUGGGGAAAUGAAGGAUUAGACCAUGCAGGGUAGAAGCAUAUCUGUUUUCUCUUAAAAGACCUCUAAUGACAGAAAUUCGUCACCAGCUGCCAUUUCUCCAAGGCCUACUAGACGGCAGGGUAGCCCUUCUGUGUAUUAGUCUCAUCUAUUCUUCACAACCAUCCUCUGAGUUAUGUGUUACAUAUCGUUCCCAUUUUAAAGAUGAGGACUUGAAGCUUAGAGAGGUUAAGUGACAUAUCAUCCAGAGAAGUGGGAGCAAACCAUAUCGGGUUGGCCUUCAUGCAUCCAUCUGUCCACCCAUCCAUUCAUCCAUUAGCAAACAUUUCCUGACCGCCUACAUGGAGCUUAACUUUAGGAAGAGAAGAGGGUCAAACAAGUAUAAAUAUGUUUCAGUUGGCACUAAGGCUAAGAAAAACAAAGCCAGGAUUUUUGUAACUCAGUUACGUUUCCCUCUUAUUUUCAACCAGCGUGUCUUCGGUUACUGUUCUAAAGCGGCCAUGAAGAUUCAAAUGACUGAACAAACUUCAAUCAGAACAGCCUAUCUGAAAACUGACAGAAGUCUCCCUGUAAGCCCUUCUUGUUUGAGACCCAUGGUUACUCAACUCACAGCCCAACAUCCAUUUAAGAAAACGAGGGACAAGUGGAAAAAACUGGGAUCCUGGCUGGAAAGGGGGAAUCCCCAUCCACCUCCAUUCCCAGUCACAGGAACCAAGUUUGAUUCAGAACGUAGAACACUUCCUGAUGUAACUCUGGUUUGACAUCUGAAGGGAAGGCAAAGUGUUCCCCACAGAGGCUGCACCUGGACGAAGUGGGAAGGAUCUGGAUUCCUGUCCUGACUUCAGUACUUACUGGUUGUGCUUCCUUGGGUGGCAAAUGACACGACCUCUCUGAACCCAUUUUCUCAUUUGGAAAAUUAAGGAUAGUAACUCCUAAUCCAUCUCACGAAGUUGUGGUCAAGGUGAAAUGAGGCUAAGUAAAAGAUCUCUACAAACUAAAAAGUGCUAGUAUCACUAUUAACCCAUGUGCAAAUCAAUUCUCUAAUGGAAGUGAGGGAUGGCUUUGCAGAGAAACACAGCUACCCUAUCCAAUUUGAGGAAAAUUCUAUUCAGCAUAAAGUCACUUGAUAUUGAUUAAAUUCUUAAGUAUGAUGAUGGAAACAGUUACAAACUAGGCUUCUAAUGUGUAACCAGUCUUUCUAAAAUUCACAACAGCAAUGUAUUCUUUCUUACAGUUGAGACUGUGAGACUGACUGGGUUUGGGCGGUUCAUCUGUUGGUCUCCUUUGGGGAGAAUAGAGAUGAGUCUUUUCACAGAAGAGAGGGGAAGUUUGGAGGGGCCGUUACAAAGAAUCCAAAGGAGAAAACUGGGAGCUCCUAGUAUAGCAGCUUUCCAUUGGCUGAGCUGUGACAGUCCCUCUUGGAUCAGCUGUCACUGGGCCAGGAGCAAUUCUUCCUUCCUCCUCCUGGCUAGGAAGGUAGUAACCUUCUUACUGUUGGGUCUGCAAAGCAUGGCAAGUGGUAGGGCAUGAGAGCUCUCC
rnacentral:lncRNA from 1 species